rnacentral:rRNA from 1 species
GUGGGGAAUUUUGGACAAUGGGCGCAAGCCUGAUCCAGCAAUGCCGCGUGCAGGAAGAAGGCCUUCGGGUUGUAAACUGCUUUUGUACGGAACGAAACGGUCCGGGUUAAUACCCUGGGCUAAUGACGGUACCGUAAGAAUAAGCACCGGCUAACUACGUGCCAGCAGCCGCGGUAAUAAGUAGGGUGCAAGCGUUAAUCGGAAUUACUGGGCGUAAAGCGUGCGCAGGCGGUUUUGUAAGACAGGCGUGAAAUACCCGGGCUCAACCUGGGAAUUGCGCUUGUGACUGCAAGGCUGGAGUGCGGCAGAGGGGGAUGGAAUUCCGCGUGUAGCAGUGAAAUGCGUAGAUAUGCGGAGGAACACCGAUGGCGAAGGCAAUCCCCUGGGCCUGCACUGACGCUCAUGCACGAAAGCGUGGGGAGCAAACAGGAUUAGAAACCCUAGUAGUCC